UUUAAUCCAAUAUUUACUUUCAAAAAGUUGGGUUGAAAUUAUCUCAUGAAGCCAAAAUGUGCAACUUGAAAAGUGAUGUCUUUUUAAAGAGUCACUUAUGCCGCUCAGUGAUAAAGGAGGUAGGGGUGCAGAGUCAGCCAAGAGGUUUGCCUAGAAGCAGCCACCCUUGAAAGAGUGCGUAAUAGCUCACUGAUCGAGCGCUCUUGCGCCGAAGAUGAAUAGGGCUAAGCGAUCUGCUGAAGCUGUAGAAUGUAAAAAUGCAUCGGUAGGGGAACGUUCCGCCUUAGAGGGAAGCACCCGCGUGAGCGGGAGUAGAUGAAGCGAAAGCG
rfam:Gossypium hirsutum cultivar TM-1 chromosome 18, whole genome shotgun sequence